CCCUUCUUUUUUAAGGGAUAGGGUCGGUUCGGCCGGAUUUUACACAGGUGUUGCAUGGCUGUCGUCAGCUCGUGUCGUGAGAUGUUGGGUUAAGUCCCGCAACGAGCGCAACCCUCAUCCUUAGUUGCCAUCAGGUAAUGCUGAGCACUUUAAGGAAACUGCCAGUGAUAAGCUGGAGGAAGGUGGGGAUGAUGUCAAGUCAUCAUGGCCUUUAUGAAGUGGGCUACACACGUGCUACAAUGGUGUCUACAGUGGGCUGCAAGGUGCGCAAGCCUAAGCUAAUCCCUAAAAGACAUCUCAGUUCGGAUUGUACUCUGCAACUCGAGUGCAUGAAGUUGGAAUCGCUAGUAAUCGUGGAUCAGCAUGCCACGGUGAAUACGUUCUCGGGUCUUGUACACACUGCCCGUCACGCCAUGGGAAUUGGUUUACUUCCGAAGCU
rnacentral:rRNA from 1 species